GUUAGGGGUACGGGCAGCGCUGCAGGCCUGGAUUUCCACUGUGCAAAGGCGAGUCCUCUAGAGAGCAGUGAGGUCGGGAGCGUGGUAAGCAAGAAGAAAAUUAUUGCCCAGCAGGCACACGUGGCCCAGUGCAGCUGCAUCCAGGAGGCGCCUCCCACAAAGUUACACAUAAGGAGCAUCAGGAUCACGACUGUAGAAGCUCACUGAGAAAGUCGAAGGAGCUAGGGAAAGCCAGGCCCAGCACCAGCAGUCCAAAUAAAGAACUGUAAUAAGAAAGAGAGUGAAUGAGCACACUGAGUCCACUCUAUCUAGCUUGUUCCAGAUGAAGAUGAGACUGUGCUUCACAUCUCAUCCAGAGAAGCAUGGCCAGAUACGAAGAGGAAAUGGAUCUCAUUUUUGAAGAAUUUUAGGUAAAGAAAGAUGAUACCUCUCUGAACCCAGAACUGAACUGUUGGAGAAGACACAAUGAAGAAGCCUCCAGACCACAAGCUGCACAAAAUUGAACUUUGGGUGUGGUUGAUUGAACAUUUAUUUGUAUGUAUACUUUCAUGCCAAAGGGGACUGCCCCCUAACUGGCUUUUUGGCAAUGCGUCCAGCAAUUACUGGUUUUGUUUUUUUUCUCUUAUCCUCAAAUUACUGUAAUGUUUAAGUUGAUUAUGUUUUCAUGAUCCUUUUUGUGGAAACUUCUUUCCCCAAUAACGAUCAAACGAGGCAAUGCAAAAAUAGACUUGAAUUCAGGACUCCAAUCCCCAGAAUCCUUUGCUCCACUUCCCCAGAGUGCUUUGUAAUCACACUGAAUUCUCUCCUGGGUGAGAACAUAAAUGAUUAUUUAAAGGAGUUCUCUGCCUACUGAGCUUUUUUGGACUUCCAUUUUGGAGCAGAGGUGACUCUUUUCAUAAUGUAGGUAAGGUGUCUAGCCAGAGGCCUAGUCACAUGUUUUCUUAUCCUGUAUUUUCUUUAAUCCUUAAUCUUUAAUAAACCUCAUAAAAAUGUAAUACUCCUUACAGAGAGAAUCUAAUUUCUACCUGCCUCAGUUUCCUAAAUUUUUAACUGUUACACUGGUUAUAUAGUAAAUUGCAGGGGGACAGGGAACUAGUCAAAACAUAUUUUAGAAAUUGUUACAGAGAUAAGACCCUUUUUCCUACUUGUAAAAGAUCAUGAAUUUCUCAGAUUGCUCCAAUUCCCUUAUUUCCAGGCCUGGAUAUUUGAAAAAUAAAAUCAACAACUACAAAUAAUUCAAUUUAAUUAGCUGAGAAAGACAUUAGUCAUUAGACUUACCUAAACAAAUUGGAAUAGGAUAAUUCCACCUUCUUACAGGUCCAGGCAUACAGGUAAUAUGAGAAUGACCCUAAAAAUACAAUCAAUUUACUUCAGAAAGCAGCUAUUGAGAGGUCUAGAAUUACUUUAGAAUUCUGUUAAAAUGCUAAAAGUUCUACCAGCUUCAGAAGGCCCUUCUCCACUUUUGAUUCCCAACACUCCAAAAUUCAUUCCAUUACUUUCCAUUUACACUUUCUCUAGCUUGUAUGUGCUUAGUUAUUUGCAUUUCUCCCACACACACACUUUAAAUUGUGAACACCUACAGAGCAGGAUGCUUAAGCCCUUGCAUGACUCCUUUUUGCUAUACUAACUAACAUAUAUACCCCACAUCCCUAACAUGUACUACAUCAAAGUAAAUAUAUGUGGAUAAAGUAAAGAUUUUAAAAAGAGUAGAAAUGAAAAUGUUUUCUCUGGUAUAUUUACUUAUUUUUAUAUACAAUAAAAAUUAUUCAACAAAGACAUACAAGUGGAAGGAUCAUAUCACUAUGUUUAUAAUUUAUAUAUUAAGAAAUUUACAUUAUAAAUGAUUACUUUUUAAAUCAAAAUGAGGUAGUGUGAAUAUUAAAUUUAACUCUCCUAUGAUUGUGAAAAUGAAAAUAAUUAACUCUCCCCUGAUUGUGAAGAUUAAAUUGUAACCCCUGCCUAUUUUUAGAUUUUAAUCACCAGAAGUGUAAACACCUACUUAAAAGUUGAGUAGGAAGAUCUGCCUAUUUUGGGAUUUAAUCACCAAAGAGAUAAACAACCCAUUCACACUUGAGUGGGGGUGGUCUUUGACACAUGUGUGAGAUAUUGGGUGACAAAUCAGAAUUGACUGACUGUCUCCUGGACAGUCCUAAAGCAGGACUUCAACUUUGAUUGGUAGACAUAGAAUUAGGGGAAGGCACAGGAAAUGAUGCAAGAGAAAGUAUCCUUAAAAGGGAGUGACAACUUCCUGAGUGCAGCUCUCCUGGCAUUUCUUCAUUCUUUGAAAUGGAGGCUGGAGAAGAAUGUACUGACUUGAUCUGAGACCCUGUUUCCUGAUGAGUUUGUUCUAAAAUCUCUUCCUUUGAACUGACAUGUGGUGAGUGAAAAAGCUCACUCUUAAAUGCUAGAUUUUUCUGAAGAGAUGUCCCCAAGUCCUAGGCUUUUGCUGAGGUCUAAGGACUAACUCUCCCUGCCCGUGGCUAUGAGUAAAUUACUUAGUGCUUAAGCUAGAUAUCUUACCCUAUCCUCUCUCUAAUUUUCUUAUUUCACUCUUUCUACAUUUUGUAAAUAAAUUAUAAAUAAAUCUCUUUGGAAUUAAUAAAAAUUCCUGAUGACCACACUCUUAAAUAAUCCAGUCCAACCCUUUUAAAAUUAACCCCUUUUCAUGCUUACAAUAGGCCUAUGAAUGGAAGUAAAAUUCAUGAAAUUAAAUAAAGUGAUUUUUUUUCUUAUUUAGCAUAUAAAUUUGAAGAAAAAUGAAAGAACACCUAAUUUAACUUAUCUCUACUGUUUUAUGGUAUGGUAUUAAUUUUUAAGAUUUCUUUCUCCAGAGAUCUUUUGAAUAAAUUACUUCCUAAGCAGUCUUCCAAUUUUCCCAAUUUGUAUAAUGGUUAUGUUUCACAGCAAUAUUUUCAAUGAGUGAAAAAUACUGUAACUUUUUGAGAGCCUCUAAUGAUACAUUUCAAAUUAUC